rnacentral:rRNA from 1 species
UGGGAUGGCGAUGCGUCCGAUUAGCUGGUUGGCGGGGUAACGGCCCACCAAGGCGACGAUCGGUAGGGGUUCUGAGAGGAAGGUCCCCCACAUUGGAACUGAGACACGGUCCAAACUCCUACGGGAGGCAGCAGUGAGGAAUAUUGGUCAAUGGGCGGAAGCCUGACCCAGCAACGCCGCGUGAAGGAAGAAGGCUUUCGGGUUGUAAACUUCUUUUGUCAGGGACGAAUCAAUGACGGUACCUGACGAAUAAGCCACGGCUAACUACGUGCCAGCAGCCGCGGUAAUACGUAGGUGGCAAGCGUUAUCCGGAUUUAUUGGGUGUAAAGGGCGUGUAGGCGGGACUGCAAGUCAGAUGUGAAAACCACGGGCCCAACCUGUGGCCUGCAUUUGAAACUGUAGUUCUUGAGUGUCGGAGAGGCAAUCGGAAUUCCGUGUGUAGCGGUGAAAUGCGUAGAUAUACGGAGGAACACCAGUGGCGAAGGCGGAUUGCUGGACGAUAACUGACGCUGAGGCGCGAAAGCGUGGGGAGCAAACAGG